AUUGAACGCUGGCGGCAGGCCUAACACAUGCAAGUCGAACGAGGGGCGGAGGGGUGAGUAAUGUGUGGGACACCGCGCGAGGGAGGGGGAAAACCACUGGAAACGGUAGCUAAUACCGCAUAACCGGGGAUGCGCCCAGAUGGGAUUCGCUUGUAGGUGGGGUAACGGCUCACCUAGGCGACGAUCCCUAGCUGGUCUGAGAGGAUGACCAGCCACACUGGAACUGAGACACGGUCCAGACUCCUACGGGAGGCAGCAGUGGGGAAUAUUGCACAAUGGGCGCAAGCCUGAUGCAGCCAUGCCGCGUGUAUGAAGAAGGCCUUCGGGUUGUAAAGUACUUUCAGCGAGGAGGCGUUACUCGCAGAAGAAGCACCGGCUAACUCCGUGCCAGCCGCCGCGGUAAUAC
rnacentral:rRNA from 1 species